GUGAACCAGUACCGUGAGGGAAAGGCGAAAAGAACCCCGGCGAGGGGAGUGAAAAAGAACCUGAAACCGUGUACGUACAAGCAGUGGGAGCCUCUUUAUGGGGUGACUGCGUACCUUUUGUAUAAUGGGUCAGCGACUUAUAUUCUGUAGCAAGGUUAACCGAAUAGGGGAGCCGAAGGGAAACCGAGUCUUAACUGGGCGUUAAGUUGCAGGGUAUAGACCCGAAACCCGGUGAUCUAGCCAUGGGCAGGUUGAAGGUUGGGUAACACUAACUGGAGGACCGAACCGACUAAUGUUGAAAAAUUAGCGGAUGACUUGUGGCUGGGGGUGAAAGGCCAAUCAAACCGGGAGAUAGCUGGUUCUCCCCGAAAGCUAUUUAGGUAGCGCCUCGUGAAUUCAUCUCCGGGGGUAGAGCACUGUUUCGGCAAGGGGGUCAUCCCGACUUACCAACCCGAUGCAAACUGCGAAUACCGGAGAAUGUUAUCACGGGAGACACACGGCGGGUGCUAACGUCCGUCGUGAAGAGGGAAACAACCCAGACCGCCAGCUAAGGUCCCAAAGUCAUGGUUAAGUGGGAAACGAUGUGGGAAGGCCCAGACAGCCAGGAUGUUGGCUUAGAAGCAGCCAUCAUUUAAAGAAAGCGUAAUAGCUCACUGGUCGAGUCGGCCUGCGCGGAAGAUGUAACGGGGCUAAACCAUG
rnacentral:rRNA from 1 species